UACGAGGGGGCAAGUGUUGUUCGGAAUCACUGGGCGUAAAGGGAGCGUAGGCGGAUGUUUAAGUUGGAUGUUUAAAGCCGGGGCCCAACCUCGGAGCGGCAUCCAAAACUGGGCAUCUUGAAUAGGUCAGAGGCUGGUGGAAUUGGAGGUGUAGCGGUGGAAUGCGUAGAGAUCUCCAAGAACACCUAUUGCGAAGGCAGCCAGCUGGGACCAUAUUGACGCUGAGGCUCGAAAGCAUGGGGAGCAAACAGG
rnacentral:rRNA from 1 species